CCCUGGCCCUGAUAGUAGUGAAAAUCCUUGCUGGCUAUGGUUCAGCCAGCAAGAUUGUAAAGGAUAGCAAGAAAUAGC
rnacentral:sRNA from 1 species